rnacentral:sRNA from 1 species
GUCUUUAAAAUAAUCUAGAUGAAAGAGCUGACCUCUAAUGGAGUCUCUUUGUUUAUAAAGUCUUCAGACGAAUUCACAUGAAUCAAUUUUAUUAUUUUUCUUCUUUAAGAAACACCAGAUGUAGAUAGACCUCAGACCUUUUUUAUACCGAUCACCCUGCGAUGUAUCUUUUUUGUUAAAAGGUAGCAGUUGUGUUUGAGUUCUUGUUCUUUGUAUGUUAUUAGAUUUUGUGCUCAUAUGUGAUAAACGUGAAUUUGUGAUGUGCUAGUGUUAAUGUGUGUGUUUGUGUGAGAAUGAUAAAAAUGAGUUUCCCCCUUUUUUGAUUUCUAUUUUAAUCAACAAGACCUAGCCACUAUUAUGCUAUUAUAUAUAGAUGUUCUUUAUAUAUAUUGAUAAUGCUGUCAUUGUUUUUCAUUUAUGCGAGUUAAUAUUUUACACAAUGAUAAGACUUGUCAUGCACUAUGCGCACCUUGGAAGCCUUAGUUUUGAGUUCAAAUUACAAAUUUAAACAUGUUAAUUUUAUUGGCGUUUUCCAUUAUAUUUUGUAAAAAAAAUGCAGCUUGCAGCAAAGUAUUUCAUUUUUUAUCAACUGAGAACCAUCAUGGAGUCAAAUCAAAUAAUACAUGGUGCUUCCGGUGACAAAUAGGGUCACUUCCGGUCUAGAGGUCGCGGAUAGAAGCAAUACAGCCAACAUUCAUUUAUCCUCAUAUUAAUGAUUAUGGUUUUUUCCCAUCUGAGUCGCUAAUUUAGGUUUCUUAAUCAUUUCAAACACAGUACAUGUAUUUCAAAGCCUUUAUUAACAGUUUCAGUUAUCUUUGUUACAUUGUAAUCACCCCUUUAUUUUCUCAGUGCUUUUCAUAGGGAGCUUCUUGAUUCGUCCCAGAAGUUUUGUUGGUGAAUUAGAAAAUCAGUGUUAUAUAUAGAUAUAUAUAUAUAUGUUUUUGUUAUCAUCUGAUCAUGUGACAUUUUUUGUAAAGAGUCAGAAAUGACAUAGGUAUAUAUAAUGAAUAAAUGUAUUCUAAGUGUUUAACAGAAACAUUUGUGAAAUAAAUAUAUGAAAA